ensembl:lncRNA
CCUGGUAUUAUGUAAUCAUUAGGGGACAGACCACCAGAUAUACCCUGGUAUUAUGUAGCUGAGGAGACAGUCCACCAUAUAAACCCUGGUAUUAUGUAGUCAUGAGGAGACAGACCAGAUAUACCCUGGUAUUAUGUAGUCAUGAGGAGACAGACCACCAGAUACACCCUGGUAUUAUGUAGCUGAGGAUACAGACCACCAGAUAUACCCUGGUAUUAUGUAGCUGAGGAGACAGACCACCAGAUAUACCCUGGUAUUAUGUAGCUGAGGGGACAGACCACCAGAUAUACCCUGGUAUUAUGUAAUCAUUAGGGGACAGACCACCAGAUAUACCCUGGUAUUAUGUAGUCAUUAGGCGACAGACCACCAGAUAUACCCUG